GAUGAGGCUACCGGUUCUGAAGCCGGUAGUGAGGAGGGUUAUGAGUCCGUGGAGGGCUAAGUUUUUAUUUUUUAUUUUAUGUUUUAUUUCUACUGUAUUUCCAGAAUUCUGUAUUUUGAUUUUGGCUUUGUACUUUUGGGGUGUUUCGUCCCCCAUGAACAAAUUUAAAUUUUGAAGUUAAUAUUAUUAUUUAUGUUUUAAAUUUUGUUUGUUUUAAUAAAUUUUUGGUUGGUUGAGUGGCAAACCUUC
rnacentral:lncRNA from 1 species